GUAGUACUCCCUCCGUCCUAAAAUUCUUGUCUUAGAUUUGUCUAAAUACGGAUGUAUGAUACAUCCGUAUCUAGACAAAUUUAAGACAAAAAUUUUGGAACGGAAGGAGUAUAUG
rfam:Triticum aestivum genome assembly, contig: Triticum_aestivum_CS42_TGACv1_scaffold_556603_7AL